rnacentral:misc_RNA from 1 species
GGAAUCAAAUGAAAAAAAGAGUUUCCAAACACUAUCAUUCCCAUUUAUGGGUAUUUUUAUGGUAGAACCGAACAAAUGGAAUCCUAAUUUCUUUGCGACUGUAUAUACAAGGCUUCUCAUUCAAGAAAGAGCAUACUCUGAGACAACAUGAACGCGAUUGCAAGCCCGCCCUAUACCAAAAACUCACAGGCAAGAGGUAAGUCCACAGGUUGGGCUGCCUUUGGCCUCAAGCAGUGUCAGAAACAAGGUCUUCAACUUC